rnacentral:lncRNA from 1 species
UUAAAAAGUAGGGUAAACAACAAAAAAGCCCCCUGUGAUUAAGCAAUCAUACAUAAAAGUUCCCUGUAAUUUCAUAUCAUACCAGUCGAUACCCCGUGAUUUGAAUUAACCUGCAAAGUGGAUGGAAAUCGUUAAAACAGACGGAGUUGAGUGAAUAGACGAAAAUACCCUUUUGAUAUAAGCGAAAAUUGCAGAAGUAAUUUUGCACUUUCAUUCUAUCGAAACCAACGAAGAGAGAGAGAAAGAAAUAGAAAACCCUAGAGAGACAUAGAGCAGCCCCUUUUCUAGCCAAUUUUCAACAAAAUUUUUGAUUGUUAUUUCAAUCAAAUAUCAAGAUCGACGCAGAAUACAAGGAAGUUAAGAUUUGCAGUAAAAAAUCAAAGAAAAAAUGGGAGUGUUGGUCGAGAGCCUUUGCCUAUAUAAACUGACCAGUCUUGGCAUAAUGAUCCACCCACGAGCAGCUUAGUGCUAUACUGGCAUAUGAAUUGUUUCAAACUUGUUAGCUAAAGAGCAACUUCAAAAUGGGUCAAGGUGGGAGUUCUGGAGGAGGAGCCAAAGGCAGUGGAGGCAACGGAGGAGGGAAAGGAAGCUCCGGUGGCGGUGGUUCAUCUAAAGGCAGCGGCAGUGUUGGUGCUGGCGGUGGAUAUAUGAAAGCGCCUGGUGGUGGUGGCUCAUACAUUUCAAGAGCCGGAUUUGAGGCAAAUCCUCGAGGAUAUUUCUCGGGUUUACGUGGCGGCCAGAAGGGCAAAUGAACUUGUAUAUUGAAUAAGAUGUUAGAAUCUAUUAAAUAAACGUCAGCUAUUUGUUGAAUUAUCAGCUUUGCAUUGAACGAUUUAUAUUGCCAGGAAUAUUUGCUUUCAAUUUUGACAUCUUUUUUAUUUUGCAAUUAUAAAAGGCAAUGCUUUGAAUUGAACUAGAGUUUACAUGCAACUGUGGCCAUAUAUAUAUGACUGCCUCCAAUGACCACUUGGGGAAGACCUCUGCCAAGACUGGUCAGUUUAUAUAGCCAAGACUGGUAUCGAAGACCUCUGCCUCCAUUUCCCCCGCUUGUUGGUCGAGAGCUUGAGGAAGACAUCUUGGGGUACUUUCUGCACUUUUCCUUCAGAAUUUGCAGACCGAAUAUAUACAGAUACAGUUCACAUUUUUACAUUAAGGCUUUGUUUCCUGCAAUUCCUUUGCUAGCCUGCAAGCUCUGCUUGAUUGAUUACUUGCACAGGCUUCGAAUGCUGCCUUCAAUCUUCAAUUUUGGCUGAACAUGAAGACUCGGAAGACUUGGAAGCUGGUCUCUUAUUAUUAAAGAGUGAAGGGUAAAGUAGGCUUAUCAGGUGAAAAUUUGUGGUGGAAAUCUGUUUUUCGCAUAUGCACGCGCCUUUGCAGUUCGUUUAAGACACACACCGAAAAUUUGACGAUUUCCGUCCACUUUUCAGGUUAAUUCAAACCACGGGUAUCGACUGGUAUGAUAUAAAACCACAGGGGACUUUUAUAUAUGAUUGCUUAACCACAUGGGGCUUUUUUGUUGUUUACCCUAAAAAGUAUGACGAAGAGAUGGGUUGGAUAGUUUGAGAGUACAAAUGAGAAGUUUCACAUUUAAAUCCUCGCACUUACAUUAUAUCUAUAAAAGAAAAAAAAAACAAACAGAGUAAAGAAGGUUGAGGACCAACUUAGGUGCGGAAGAGCCGAGAGGCCAGCUGUCUUCCCUAUAUUUCAAGUUGGGGUUUCAAAGAUCAAUGUCCUUCUUCAGAAAAUCUUACUUGGAUCCUAGCUGCUUAUAGACUUUCAGCUAAGUUAAAUUUGUAAUGCAUGAUUUGAUUUUCAAUACCCACUGAGGGCACCUCUGCCUGAACAUCACGCAUUGCAUUUUCAAAAAAAAAAAAAAACGUCUGCUCCAAGAGGCAUAAACUUGUAGGAAAUUAUUUUUUCAAAAUAAUAAUAAUAAUAAUAAAAGGCUUAGGGGAAGUCAUGAAUACACCAAAAAGUUUCUUCCCCUAAAAUUGAUAGUGCUUUCUUUAAUGGGAUAAUUUGAAAAACAUCCCCUAAGGUUUUUGACUAUUUUAGCAACCUUCUUUCAAAUUUCAAAAAUUACACCUGCCUCCCUCGAGAUUAAUUAUCUUGUAAUAUUUAUACCCAACUAAUAAUUAAAAAACAAUAUUAUGAGAGAGAAGAUAACAUGAUUCCACCAUUGCCUCUCAACUAAAAUUUGCUGUUUAUCAUUAGAGAUCAAAUGAUUUGGUAUUAGAUUAACUAAUUAAUAUAGUAGAUAAGGAAUAAAAGUGGAAUCAUGUUAUCUUCUCUCUCUUGAUAUCACUUUUUAAUUGCUGGUUAGAUCUAGAUAUUGUAAGAUAAUAAAUCUCAAAGGAAGUUAGUGUGAUUUUUGAAACCUAAAGGUAGGCUAGUGAAAUAGUCAAAAAUCUCAGGGAAGGCUUCUGAAAUUACCCCUUCUUAAAAAUUUAUUACUUACUUGAGUUCAUCAUUUUCUUUUUCAGCUGCAAAAUGAAAGCAAGAGACGAAGGCCAACAGCCUUUUGGGCUAUUGGUACUACCACCAAGAUAUUUAAGUCUUGGUGGCGGUGGAAGGUCAAUUCUUGUCUCCUACCUUGCCACUUAAUUGUGGUUACCAUUUUCAAGUGGCUUACUUUGACGGGGUUUUUCAUCGGCUUCCCUUCUCCUUAAAUUAAGUUAAAGUAGGUUAUACAAAUGUUAUUAUUGUGACAGAAAAAAAAGAAGAAAGCAAGAGACAGAGAUUGACAUGAUUUGGGAACAAGUGUCAACUGGUUGAACAAAAAUAGUGUGUAGAUUCUACUAGGAUUGCAAACGAAUCGAGCUGCUCGCAAGCCGCUUGAGUCAAAGCUUGACUCAAGUUCGAUCAAUAUCCAAGUCGAGCUUGAGCUGGCGAAAUUGAACUCGAGCUCGAGUUCGAGCUCAAAAUAUUAAGUUCGUUAGCUCGCGAGCUACAAUAAUUUUAAUAGUAAAAUUACAUAUAUAUCCAUAAUAUUUUAUUAUUUAUUAAGAAAAAAAUAAUUAUUUGUUAUUUUUAUUUGAUUAAUUUCCAGAAACUCGAGUUAACAAGCUGCUCACGAGUCAGAAAUUCGAGCUACGUUACGAGCUGACAAUUCGAGUUGCUCGCAAGCCAGAAAUCGAGCUACAGCUUGUGAGCCUUGUCGAGUCGAGCUCGAGCUCGAACUCAAACUCAAGCCCACCUGUUAUUAAGUCGAGCUCGGCUCGAUAAGUCCAAAACUCGAUUCGGCUUGGCUCGUUUGUAGCCCUAGUGUAGAUACAUAGUCCAAUUGAUAAGAGUAAGGGCGAACAAAUAUGUGUACUUUUAGCUUAGGUAAUUUCAAUUGACAUGACCAUAUGAAACUUAUUGUGCACAAGAAAUGGCAAAAUCGACGUACUGUUGUUCUUGUACGCAUUCUAUAACUUUAGUGAAAAUUCUCACCCAUCCUUAUGUUAGGAGUUAGGACUCAAGUGAUUGGGUGGACUUUUAAUCCCAUGGAUUGUGCAUGCAAAGGAAAAUUCUACCUGUCCACUCUAAUGAAGAGGUUAUUUCAGAUUUUCAGCUAAUCAAGAGAACCUCACUUUUUCUUUCUGAAAAGAAUAAAGAGAAGACACGAAAACCAGAUAUAGGAAUCAAGAAAGUCGCCCCUAUCAAGUUGGUAGUUACCUCGCCAUCAAAGCAUAGAAUAAGAGUUCCUUCUUCCCUUGCUUUCCUUCUUUUGUUUUGUUUUUGUUUUUGUUUUUGUGUACUUUAGAUAUGGAAAAGAAUGCUCACCAAUGGACCAUUAUGGGAGAAUUUUCUUUGCAAUACUAGGCUUGUCAGCUUCAUUUUUCACCUGUUUUCCAAUUGUAAGGAAAUGGCAGAAAAAGAAAUUAGCACAAGACAAAUUGAGAAUGGUAAGUGAAGCCUUGGUUGAAGCUGAGCUAAGAGUCGUAAGGUAUGAAGAAAGGCAUGAUCGCAUACUUGGCCAAAUAUGCUCGCACUACUUGGUUAAUCAGGACAUGGAGGAGGCGAUGGCCCGAGCACGAGGAGCCAUGAAUGAUGCUCAAGAGUUUGCUGUGAUUCUCAGAAAUUUGCAAAUUGAGAUACUCAGCUCAUUUCCAGGUGAAGAUGCCACUGCCUUUGAUUUUUUGUUUAGAAGAUCAAGAAAGUCGAGGAAUAAUUCUAAUAAAGAGGAGCAGAGGGGCUAGAAAUGUCGUCCAUGUUGCAAAUAUUGGCUUCCGAAGAUCAAUGGUUCAACACCCCGUCCCUUAGAAUCUUGAUCUCCUCACAGCUAAUAAAAUUUGUAACGCAUAACUAAAUUUCUCCAUAUAAUUAUUCUAGAUUUCUGAUAUUCAUGUGUACGGAAUCAAAAAGAAAGGGUUAAAGACUAUUUUUACAUUUUUGUGUUGCCUGGAGAGUUCUUGUGAUCAUUUAAAUGCAAAAAAUCAUCCUCUCAACUUUGUCUGGCGUAGCAUUUAGAACUAGAAGGCAGUAUACGAAACUGCAUCUUGACAAAAUAAGCAAUCGUUCAAAACAUUAGCAGCAAUUGAUCCACAUAUAUUAGGAAAUUUUUAGCAGCUCUGGUUAUGCAAUGGUACCGAAAUGAUUAGUAGACAAAGAAAGUUGCCAUAUUGCUUUGCAUCUGGCCACCAUUCAUGAUCCAAAUAAAACUGAACUUUCAAACUAGUUUUGAAAUUUCUCCUUAGGACCUGUAUAAAAUUUCGUAAAAGCCUGAAAGGAAGUCUGCUAAGGAAGGGAAAGAGCUAGGAUGUUGAUGGAGGCUAUUCCAUAUCUUGCUAGUUAUCUACAUUAAGGACGCAUUUGCGAACUCGAACAUGAGUUUAUCUGUGGUGCUACAUGCAAAGUGCAAACACUAGAAAAGCUAUGAUUUGCCACUGAAAAGUCGUACCAUUAUGAAACAACUAUUAUUUUAUCAAGUAAUCAGGAAUAAUGAGUGCUAUUUUACUAGAGUUUCAUUUUCAAAUUCCAUGUUACACGAAGUUAACUGAGAUUGGGCUUCUAACAUUGUACUUGUUUGAAAUCCAUGUAAUUGCACCAUGCCUAUAAAGAUGGUCAGAAAAGGGAAGGAUCCUGGUAAAGCUAAUUUCAUAGCUCAACUGCUGUUUCUCCUGUGUGAAGUAGAGCACACGAGGCUGGACAAUUAUUUUAACCUCUGGAACUGAGUCAAUUUUAACUUCAUAAGUUGAGGGGGUCUCGCCGACGCUUGUUAGUGUCCUUGAAUAUGUCUGCGUCGUAUUUCCAAGUUGAAUAGCAAAUGAAGGAUAAUUUAGCUGCGCCUCGUGUAUGCUAAUGAUAUCGGCACAUGAAACACGACGAUUAACAAUUUUUUUGAUGUUCUUGUCUGUGUAUCCCAAACCACACAAGUAUGGAAUGUAGUCAUCAAGCAAGUUUAGAUGUUCUUGUCUGUAGUAUCCCACAAGUAUUUUUUUGAUGUUCUUGUCUGUAGUAUCCCAAACAAGUUUAGAUGGAAAGUUCAUUCAACAAACAACAAGCUCAAAUAGCAGCGAGCCAUGGAAACCACCCUCAAGAGGACAGAUAAAGAUAAAUUCUGAUGCUGCAUUUUCACAAAACAUGAAGAGAAUAGGCAUAAGUGCUGUGGCUAGAAAUGCAGAAGGAAAACUGAUGAAAGCAUGGGCAAAAGCUGAACUAAAAGCUAGCACGCCACAAGCGGAGGAAGCAGCAGCAAUUCGGAUGGGAAUGCAAAUGGCUUACGAUGCAAACUGGAAGGAAGUAGAAUUCCAGUCUGACUGCAAGGAGGUAGUGGACAUGAUCAACAAGGAAAAGGACCAGCAUACCAGGAUAACUAUUGUCCUUGAAGACAUUGUUAAUAUGAGAUGUUUGUUUGAACAAUGUACUUUUUCUUUUGUUCAUAGAGCUGGAAACAGCUGUGCACAUAGCUUAGCAAAAUUUGCGGUAAAGCUAACUAAAAAUGUUGAAUGGGAAGAGUGUUUUCCCAUGUGGCUCCAUGAGAGUGCACAAAAGGAUUACAAAGGGAGAAAUUCUGAUGUAUCCAAUCUUGUAAUAUCAAGUUCAUGAAUGAAGUGAAUUUAUGAUGUUUGACAAAAAAAAAAAAAUGGAAUGUAGUCAUCAGGUUUGAUGUCAUAAACCAGGCCAGGAUCAGCAGCUCUUAACGGGUUCACAUGGCCAGCACCAACCGCGAAAACAUCAGCAGGAAGCCUCAUUUCAUCAGGGAUGCUGUCAUUAUUCCGGUCUAAGAUGUCGGCAGUGGUCAUGAUAGCUGAUUUAAUUGCAGCAGGUGAUCAAUCACAAUGCAUACUUUUUAAUAAGGCUGCAAUGCCAAUUAGAUGGGGACACGACAUUGAGGUGCCAGAUACUAUAUUGAAAGUUGAUGAUGUAUAAGUAUGGUUCGCCAACUCGGCCGAGUCGCAACCGGAACAGCAGGUGCCGUUCCGAUACCCAUACCCAAAACACCAAUUAUAUCAUAUCCGAUUUGAAUCGUUCCGAAUCAGCCGAUAUAGUCCAAGUUAGAACCGUGUAUCAAGAUAACGGCCAAAUUCUCGGAUUCGACUCAGAUAUGUACCGGUCAUAAUCAUAAACAGCAACUGGGAAGCCAAACCAAACCAAUAAGGAACAGAACGAAAGGCCACAAAAGGCUGUGCACCACAGCUAUACGGCUGUUGUAGAGUCUUUUCCCAUGCUUUCUUGUUUCCUUUUUCAGCCACAAAGACAAGAUUUAGGGGAAAGUGGGGAUAAGGGGAGAACCAUACCAGCAAUUUCUGCGUGAUCCAUCACUAUUGUUGAGCUUCAUUCCAGAUUCUGGAGUGAUUAUUUGGAGAAACAAGCCGAAGGGUUCUUCAAUUUCUUCAUCGUCCGGCUGCGGCUCAAAACAGAGGUGAUGGCAGGUGGGGAAGAAAACAACAGCGGGAAAGGGAAAGCAAAAGAAAGAAUAAAGGUGACGCCCGGCUAAUUCCGCAGCUGAAGGGGCUCUUCAAUUUCUUCAUUAUCUGGCCGUGAAGGAGGUGAAAAAAGUACGAAAGGGAAAUUGGAAAAAAAAAACGAAGAGAAGACUGAGAGGAACACAUGGCUAAACCUAGGAGCUGCGGCUACACUAAACUAUGGAGAAGGUGGGCUUUUGUACCGGAGCAAGCGAUAGGGAAAAAAAUUGAAGGAAAAAUUAGAAGCACAUAAAGUCUAACUUUGGCCCAAGUAAUUAAGAGAUCAGGCUCCUAAUCUUAAAUCCAAGCAUCA